AGUAGAAUGGCUGAAGAUGAAGGUAAUAAAUUGUAAAUUUAUUCAUGAAUGAUAAUUCUUCUACU
rnacentral:tRNA from 1 species